AGAGUUUGAUCAUGGCUCAGAAUGAACGCUGGCGGCAGGCCUAACACAUGCAAGUCGAACGGGUGUCUUCGGGCACUAGUGGCGGACGGGUGAGUAACGCGUGGGAACAUACCCAAAGGUACGGAAUAGCCUCGGGAAACUGAGAGUAAUACCGUAUGUGCCCUUCGGGGGAAAGAUUUAUCGCCUUUGGAUUGGCCCGCGUUGGAUUAGGUAGUUAGUGGGGUAAUGGCCUACCAAGCCGACGAUCCAUAGCUGGUUUGAGAGGAUGAUCAGCCACACUGGGACUGAGACACGGCCCAGACUCCUACGGGAGGCAGCAGUGGGGAAUCUUAGACAAUGGGGGAAACCCUGAUCUAGCCAUGCCGCGUGAUCGAUGAAGGCCUUAGGGUUGUAAAGAUCUUUCAGAUGGGAAGAUAAUGACGGUACCAUCAGAAG
rnacentral:rRNA from 1 species